rnacentral:rRNA from 1 species
CGUGUAGGCGGCUUCGUAUGUCUCUUGUGAAAUCCCUCGGCUCAACCGGGGAACUGCAAGAGAAACUGCGGAGCUCGAGUCCGGGAGAGGAAAGCGGAAUUCCCAGUGUAGCGGUGAAAUGCGUAGAUAUUGGGAGGAACACCAGUGGCGAAGGCGGCUUUCUGGACCGGUACUGACGCUGAGACGCGAAAGCUAGGGGAGCGAACA